rnacentral:RNase_P_RNA from 1 species
CAGUGCGUCCACUCCACCGCUUGCUCCCCGAUAGCUAUCGGGGUGGGCAAGAGGAAAGUCCGGGCAACGCAGGGCACCACGCCGGCUAACGGCCGGGGCCCUUCUUCGGAAGGGUACGGAAUAGUGCCACAGAAAGUGUACCGCCCCGCCCGACCCGGUCGGACGGGGUAAGGGUGAAAACGUGGGGUAAGAGCCCACGCCGUCGGGUAGUAAUACGCGGUGGAGGUAAACCCCGUGGGUUGAAAUACCAAACAGCGUUCCCUCCGCAGCUUCGGCUCGUGGAGACGGCCGGCCCGGUCGCAGUCCAGGAACGCGGGUAGGUAGCUCGAGCCCGGGAGUAAUCCCGGGCCUAGAUAAAUGGUGGAGCGUCCUCUGCGGAGGGCCGACAGAACCCGGCUUACCGGAACGCGCUGCGGA